GACAGCUUGGCAGAGUUGGUUAAUGCGGGAGACUUGAAAUCUCUUGGGCUUGUCCCGUGUGGGUUCGAAUCCCAUGGUUGUCG